rnacentral:snoRNA from 1 species
UGCAGAUGAUGUAGAAGAAUAUUUGCUAUCUGAAAGACGGUGUUGCCACUUAAACCACCAAGAUCUCUGAUGCA